ensembl:snRNA U1 U1 spliceosomal RNA
AUAAUUAGCUGCCAAGGGAGAUACCAUGAUGAAUACAAAGGUGAUUUUCCCGCUGUGAGGCUUAUCCAUUGCACUCUGACUGUGCUGACUUCCCACAUGUGGAAAACUUGACUGCAUAAUUUGCAGCAGUGGAGGACUGGAUUCAUGCUUCCUUCUA